UACGGAGGUCGCAAGCGUUGUUCGGAAUCACUGGGCGUAAAGCGCGUGUAGGCGGCCGAGCAAGUCGGAUGUGAAAUCCCGAGGCUCAACCUCGGAACUGCAUUCGAAACUGCUCGGCUCGAGUCCCGGAGAGGAUGGCGGAAUUCCCGGUGUAGGGGUGAAAUCCGUAGAUAUCGGGAGGAACACCAGUGGCGAAGGCGGCUAUCUGGACGGUGACUGACGCUGAGACGCGAAAGCGUGGGGAGCAAACAGG
rnacentral:rRNA from 1 species